rnacentral:rRNA from 1 species
CGCGGCCUAUCAGCUUGUUGGUGAGGUAAUGGCUCACCAAGGCUUCGACGGGUAGCCGGCCUGAGAGGGCGACCGGCCACACUGGGACUGAGAUACGGCCCAGACUCCUACGGGAGGCAGCAGUGGGGAAUAUUGCACAAUGGGCGCAAGCCUGAUGUAGCAACGCCGCGUGCGGGAUGACGGCCUUCGGGUUGUAAACCGCUUUCAGUAGGGACGAAGCUAACGUGACGGUACCUACAGAAGAAGGACCGGCUAACUACGUGCCAGCAGCCGCGGUGAUACGUAGGGUCCGAGCGUUGUCCGGAAUUAUUGGGCGUAAAGGGCUUGUAGGCGGUCCGUCGCGUCAGGAGUGAAAACUCGGGGCUUAACCCCGAGCCUGCUUUUGAUACGGGCGGACUAGAGGGAUGCAGGGGAGAACGGAAUUCCUGGUGGAGCGGUGGAAUGCGCAGAUAUCAGGAGGACCACCGGUGGCGAAGGCGGUUCUCUGGGCAUCACCUGACGCUGAGAAGCGAAAGCGUGGGGAGCAAACAGGCUUAGAUACCCUGGUAGUCCACGCCGUAAACGGUGGGCACUAGGUGUGGGGGACAUUCCACGUUCUCCGUGCCGAAGCUAACGCAUUAAGUGCCCCGCCUGGGGAGUACGG